rnacentral:rRNA from 1 species
GAUGAACGCUGACAGAAUGCUUAACACAUGCAAGUCUUUGGCGAAGCUGUGCUUGCACAGCCUAGCCAAGGCGGACGGGUGAGUAACGCGUAAGGAACUUGCCCUGCAGUCAGGGAUAACAGACGGAAACGACUGAUAAGACCUGGUAAAGUCAGGCGGACUCAUGUCCAGCCUGAUGAAAAGAGAUGCUGCAGGAGAGCCUUGCGUCCUAUUAGCUUGUUGGUGGGGUAACGGCCCACCAAGGCGAUGAUAGGUAGCCGGCCUGAGAGGGUGGACGGCCACAAGGGGACUGAGAUACGGCCCUUACUCCUACGGGAGGCAGCAGUGGGGAAUAUUGGACAAUGGGGGCAACCCUGAUCCAGCAAUUCGGUGUGCACGAUGAAGGUUUUCGGAUGGUAAAGUGCUUUCAGCAGGGAAGAAAAAAUGACGGUACCUGCAGAAGAAGCGACGGCUAAAUACGUG